UAGGGAAUAUUGGGCAAUGGGCGCAAGCCUGACCCAGCAACGCCGCGUGAGGGAAGAAGGUUUUCGGAUUGUAAACCUCUGUCCUAUGUGACGAAGGAAGUGACGGUAGCAUAGGAGGAAGCCCCGGCUAACUACGUGCCAGCAGCCGCGGUAAUACGUAGGUGGCAAGCGUUGUCCGGAAUUACUGGGUGUAAAGGGAGCGCAGGCGGGAAAUCAAGUUGGAUGUGAAAUGUCGGGGCUUAACCCCCGGAACUGCAUCCAAAACUGAUAUUCUUGAGUGAAGUAGAGGUAGGCGGAAUUCCGAGUGUAGCGGUGAAAUGCGUAGAUAUUCGGAGGAACACCAGUGGCGAAGGCGGCUUGCUGGGCUUUUACUGACGCUGAGGCUCGAAAGUGUGGGGAGCAAACAGGAUUAGAUACCCUGGUAGUCCACACUGUAAACGAUGGUAGCUAGGUGUGGGGGGUCUGACCCCUUCCGUGCCGGAGUUAACGCAAUAAGCUAUCCACCUGGGGAGUACGACCGCAAGGUUGAAACUCAAAGGAAUUGACGGGGGCCCGCACAAGCAGUGGAUUAUGUGGUUUAAUUCGAAGCAACGCGAAGAACCUUACCAGGUCUUGACAUCCGACUAACGAGAUAGAGAUAUGUCAGGUGCCCUUCGGGGAAAGUCGAGACAGGUGGUGCAUGGUUGUCGUCAGCUCGUGUCGUGAGAUGUUGGGUUAAGUCCCGCAACGAGCGCAACCCCUGCCAUUAGUUGCUACGCAAGAGCACUCUAAUGGGACCGCUACCGACAAGGUGGAGGAAGGUGGGGACGACGUCAAAUCAUCAUGCCCCUUAUGACCUGGGCUACACACGUAAUACAAUGGCCGUUAACAGAGGGAAGCAAAGCGGUGACGCAGAGCAAAACCCUAAAAACGGUCCCAGUUCGGACUGUAGGCUGCAACCCGCCUACACGAAGUUGGAAUUGCUAGUAAUCGCGGAUCAGCAUGCCGCGGUGAAUACGUUCCC
rnacentral:rRNA from 1 species